rnacentral:tRNA from 1 species
GUCUUCGUGGCGCAAUUGGUUAGCGCGUUCGACUGUUAAUCGAGAGGUUGACAGUUCAAUCCUGUCCGAGGACG